rnacentral:rRNA from 1 species
CGUGAUCCGCCCUUCGGGGUGGUGAAAGUGGCGCACGGGUGAGUAACGCGUGGAUAAUCUGCCCGAGGAUUUGGGAUAACAUCUCGAAAGGGGUGCUAAUACCGAAUAAGCCCACGGGGUCUACGGAUCUUGCGGGAAAAGGGGGGGACCUUCGGGCCUCCUGUCCUUGGAUGAGUCUGCGUACCAUUAGCUAGUUGGUGGGGUAAUGGCCUACCAAGGCGACGAUGGUUAGCUGGUCUGAGAGGAUGAUCAGCCACACUGGAACUGAGACACGGUCCAGACUCCUACGGGAGGCAGCAGUGGGGAAUUUUGCGCAAUGGGGGAAACCCUGACGCAGCAACGCCGCGUGGGUGAUGAAGGCCUUCGGGUCGUAAAGCUCUGUCUGGAGGGAAGAAAUGAUUGGGAGCUAAUACCUCUUGAUCUUGACGGUACCUCUGAAGGAAGCACCGGCUAACUCCGUGCCAGCAGCCGCGG